rnacentral:rRNA from 1 species
UUUCCGUAGGUGAACCUGCGGAAGGAUCAUUACCGAGAGUGCCCCUCCGGGGGCGACCUCCCACCCGUGAUUAAUUUACCGAUGUUGCUUUGGCGGGGGGUGGGCCCCGGCCCACCCGACGUCCGUCAGAGGCUUUCUCACACUCAUUUUUAGUUGCCGUCUGAGUAGAAACGUAAAUCUUCAAAACUUUCAACAACGGAUCUCUUGGUUCCGGCAUCGAUGAAGAACGCAGCGAAAUGCGAUAAGUAAUGUGAAUUGCAGAAUUCCGUGAAUCAUCGAAUCUUUGAACGCACAUUGCGCCCUUUGGUAUUCCGAGGGGCAUGCCUGUCCGAGCGUCAUUGCACCACUCAAGCUCCGCUUGGUGUUGGGACUCGCCCCCUGCGGCGGCCCCGAAAAGCAGUGGCGGUCCGGCGAGACUUCAAGCGUAGUAAAUUUUUUCCCGCUUGGCAAGCUUCGAGCCGUGGCCCGCCAAGUCGACCGUGCUUAGGGCACACUUUCUAUGGUGACCUCGGAUCA